rnacentral:tRNA from 1 species
GCGGGCGUAGUUCAAUGGUAGAAUAGGAGCUUCCCAAGCUCCGGACGUGGGUUCGAUUCCCAUCGCCCGCUCCA